rnacentral:tRNA from 1 species
CAACAAAUAGUUUAUUUUAAAAUUUAAUUUUUGGGUAAUUAUGAAAGGGGUUUACCCUUUUGUUGAU